GACGAACCGUACGAACGUUAUUCGGAAUCACUGGGCUUAAAGGGUGCGUAGGCGGUCCGAUAAGUUGGGUGUGAAAUACCUCGGCUCAACCGAGGAAUUGCGCCCAAUACUGCCGGACUCGAGGAAGGCAGAGGUGAGCGGAACUUAGGGUGGAGCGGUGAAAUGCGUUGAUAUCCUAAGGAACACCAGGGGCGAAAGCGGCUCACUGGGCCUUUUCUGACGCUGAGGCACGAAAGCUAGGGGAGCGAACGGG
rnacentral:rRNA from 1 species